UCUCCCUCUUUCUUGGCACCACGGCUCUGCUCUGCUCCUGCCUACAGCGCGGGACUGGGUCCGGAGAGGAGAUUUCUUUAUCCCGUACGGAGUGCGCAGGCGGCGGAGGGAAGGCAAGGACGGUCGCUUUAGCGCCGUCCUGGUUGCGGCGGUUCUUGGGUUGUUGGCAGCGGCGGCAUAGGAGACGGGGAGGUGCUAAUGUCUGUCGAGGCGGGCUUCGGCAACGCCGCUAACACGCUCGUCGACUGGGACGGCGGGUGCGACCACUGUGCCUGGCAGGGGUCGUCGCCUGUGACACCAACUCCUUCACCGUCCUUGGACUGAUGGAAGCUCAAAGGAAGCAAGACUGCAACAAAAAUCUCUGAAUGCACUCCAAGCUUCUGUACGGCAUACGUCGUUUUGAAGGGCAAACUGUCAUUUGUGCACUCAGCUACAUCUGAUCCCUGCGAAAUACCCAAGACCAUAUCUUCUUCAACUGUUUCUUCAUUUAGCUCCAGAAGCCUUUCCAAUGCGCCCUCAGAGUGGGAUGACAGAAAUGGAACAACAGCUGUAUUAUUCCGCCAGUCAUCUCUAUCAUCGCAGCGUGAUCACGCACUCGCAAAUAUAAACAGGUCGGCCAAUAGGGGAGCUAGCCCUUCAGGCAGUGCUGGCCGCGAGAUCUCUUACCAUGUUGAUACAACCCUGAAGACAAAUUCACACUCAAUCGCAUCAGUAGCGCAGCUCAGUAACAGCAGCAGUGGGGAUUAAAUUUACAGGAGCUUCCAAGGAGAUAGCUUCCUAGAUAUCUCUGAUCUGCAGGCAGCAGUUUCAGAAACUGCAACAGACCUGAGGCAUUCUCAUGACCAGAGAGUAUGAAGGUCAAACUGUGACAUCUUCAGAAGCUUGUGCAAUUUAUGAUCUUUUUUGGCUCAAGAUGAUGAUCUGAAGCUUCAAAUUGAGAGUAUGAAGGUCAAACUGUGACAUCUUCAGAAGCUUCAUGAUGUUUCUCAGAAUGAGCCGGUUGACUCCAAUCAGAAAUUACCCGACAACUUGGGCAUCUGGCGUGUCGAGGACGGAAAAUAGCUUAGAGAGAUUGACCUGACAGAAGAAAUUGUGAAGAGAUUGGUAAGACAAAUGGAAAGAGAAGAAGAGCAGGUGGCCGAAAGAGAAGCUCAGCCUAAACAAAGCUCUUUAUUGAUGAAUAAUACACCUCGUCUUUAUCCAUCCCAAUACAUGGUUUGUUCCAUGACCUAAAAUUGUGAAACCAGACCAGAUAGAACCGUGCAUGGUUAUGAAUUAAAUCACACACUUUGUUCAAGCAACGUGAACUCAGCCUUGACUCGGUGGAGUGGUGAGAUUCUAGGACACGGGGAUCCAAUAUUAUUGGAGGAGCACCGAGGUUAAUGCCCUGCUUUAUGAUCUUUUAGCUGAUAAAUUCCAUACCUUCAUCUAACUUGCAUAUUUUAUAAUGAUUGUCUUAUUUUAUUUUUGGCAUUUGCAUUCCAUCAUGCCAUUAAAUACUUCACACCAAGUUAAAAACUAUGAACAUUUUCAGAAGAUCAUUUGAGCCUUACUUCUAUUUUAUACAAUUGCUUUUCCAAAUUCCUUUUGAGCCUUUAGAAAAAUAUCAUGCAUUUUUGUACAUAAAUUCUGGUCCCCAAACUUUGCCAAUAAUUCUUUUAUCACUUUACCAACCUCUACAAAAAUUCAAAUGAGUUUGAGUUUAAACCUUGCAUUGCCCAUUUCCAAUUUUCUUUGAACAAGCACAUUUUUUCGAGUCCAGAAAAAUAGUACCUUCCCAAAAGAUAAUUCCUAAGCCUCUCUAUUUUAUAAUAUUUCUCUAUUUAUAUUUAAUAAUAGAAACAAGAUAGGAUUUGUUUGAGUAAUCUAGAAAAAAAGAUAGGAGAAUUAGGAGAGAGAGAGGGAGAGAGAGAGAGGGGGAGAGAGAGAGAGAGAGAGAGAGAGAGAGAGAGAGAGAGAGAGAGACAGCAGCAGCAGCAGCCACUAAACCGGCUGACCCAUUUGUCCUAAAUCCCAGCCCAGGCGUACCUUAACCUAGCUAGCAGAUCGAUCGUUGCUCAAAAAAGCUAGCAGGUCGAUCCCCUGCCUCAGAAAAAUGGAUCGAUCCCCUCGCUCUCUCCCACCUCGCGCCGUCAGGGAAGCGCCCCAUGUGCGCCGCCCGAUCCGCGGCACCUGCCGGCACAGCCCGACCCCCGCGAAGCUGCACCGCCCUCGGCCUCGCUAUUCCUCCCCUCACCUUUGUGCUCCUCCUCUCAUGUUGCAUCGCGCCACCAUGUCCGAGCCGCUUGCCUCCGUUCCGAUGACGCUCGUGGACAGCACCGCGCUGCCGCACCUCCUGCUCCCGUCGCCGUCUGCUACAGCAAGCCGCCGCCUCGUCUCCCCUCCUUUCUCCAGUUUUCUCCUCCCCCCAUCUCCCCGUUUCCUUUCCGGCAGGAGCCCAGAUGCCAGGAAUUCGCCCGAGAAGUUGCCCUUCGGCUUUAAUCGUCGUCACCGGCGACCCCCGUCCUCACCGCUCGCCUCCGAAUCCUCCCCACCCCGUGCCGUGCACGGAUCCAUUCGCUGCAAGCUCCAGCCGUUGCCGCCGUUCUGCAAAUCGCGGGUUGAAUAGAUGAAAACACAUGGUCCUGUUUGUAAAUUUGAAAUGUUUUUUGACUGACUAAAACCUGUAGUGCGGGUUGAUUCCAGAGAACUAUAGGGGGUUUUCUGUAAAUAUGCGCGACGGACGAAAGA